UACCCUAAUCGUAACUCAUUCUCUUCCUUCGCCGCCGCAGGUAGACGACGCUCUUCGUUUCGUAGAUCUAGGCGACGGAGCUUCUCCGACGGGCGUAAUACUCGCAUAUUCUUGUAGAUCGAGAGCCGAUCUACCUUUUGGCUAUGGCUUUUAGGUUUUUGGUUUUACGAUCUGAGUUUGGCCGUCGGAGGUUUCGUCCUGUCGGUUGUAUGAUUUCUUGAGGUUUGAUCCGUCGCGUAGAUGUUCGAUCGAGGAGAUCGAUGGGUAUGUAUCAGCAUCUGGAAGAUCGGUUGAGGUUCAAGAGUGGUGCCUGAAGCGGAUCCGAGUCUUUUCGCCCGAAGUUGUGAAUUGGCUUGCUCUUCGAACCUUCCGAUGUUCCUUUCACGGACUACCGUGUUCGUUACAGUUGUCGGCCGGAUUUGCGCUAGCAGCGCCUUCGUACGGUUACGGCAAAAUGGUUUGUGCUAUUUCUUUUUGUUAUUCUGCUAAAUUUAUGCUUAUAGUUACUUUGAGGGAGUUUUAUGUAAAAAAAGAGAGCGAGGGAUGAAAUUUGUGAAAAAAAUCGUGAGAGGUGAGGACACUGCGUGUGUUUGGAAUGACCUUUGCCAUGUUGGGUGCGCUCGCAUGGCAGGUCACCGCAUAAUAAAAGUUGAGGUUUUUUGUUUCGAGGGGAGAUGGUACGGGGAUUUGCCCGGCUCUCCCCUCUGUGUUGUCUCGUCUCUUGCCCCCUCCCCCUUCUAUUAUUCUCCUUGAUCGUGCUCGCUUAAGUUCAAUACUCGGCAAUACAUCAAUGGUGUUUGGUGAUGAAUGGGUUGCGUGGUUUGUUAUGACAUCAUCUAACAAACGCUAGCACCCAUUCAUCUCCAAAGCAUGUACAAAUUGUUUGCGAUAAAAGUUCGUCAGCAAGCAUAUGCAAUAUCGGGAUCGUCAUCUGAAUCAACAAUAUCAGUUUGAGGUACAUACAAUUUAUUGUUCAUUUUAAUUACAGCAACUUUUAAGUUUUUGGUUAAUUAUUUAAAUUGAAAAAUAGCAUCAUAGAUAUUUUUGCCACAUAAUCCCUGAUUAGUAAGAAAUUCAUCCAUCGUUAAGAGUAUGUUAACAAGACCCAAAAAAUUCAACGUUACAAUUCAUUAUUUUCUCGUUGAGCUCAAGCAACGGAAGUUUUUGGUUAAUUGUUUAAAUUGAAAAAUAGUAUAGUACAUAUUUUUGCCGCAGUUUCUUAUUAUUAACAAAAUCUUCUCCUCAAAGAGCAUGAUUCAUCUUUAAUAGUAUGUUAACCAGACCCUAAAAUUGAACAUUGCAAUUCAUUAUUCUCUUGGCGAGCUCAAGCAAAAAUUAUGACUAGCUUCAACUUAUUUCAUUCUCCCAUCUUUGAAUCACCUAAAAUAAAUGCAGUCCUGCACUCUAAAAGCAAUCAAAGCUGUUAACGCUGGAGGCUCUAUUCUGGUAUUAAUUUCUUGUACACAACAUAUGAACUACAAUAAUUUCUUGAUAGUCACGCAUAUUAACCACACCGCAAUUAAAGUUCAUAUGUCAGACAAAAUUGCAACACAGGCUUGUUAUUUCUUGAUUUUGUUUUUGUUAACUGUUAAAUUUUUCUCAAUUGAACUCUAAUAAUUAUGUGAUUAUAUUCACUUUACCAUAUUGGCUGUGGAGAGUUAUCUACCAUUGUCAAGGUAGGUGAUAGUGUGUUAAGGGCAAGCCUUCUUCCUAAGAAUGUUAGUUUGAAGGCAUGGUUUCUUGUAAUAGAUAAAGCAGUUUGGUUGUGGGUCUCAUUUGUAAGAGCUGGAUUACACUACACUUCCAUGGCUUGAAAGAGGGAUCUGGUUUGAAGAUAGAUGCUGCUUCUCAAGUUUCGUUGCUUUGCUGUUGUGGCUAAUGGGUGAGAGGAAGCCUGCAGACUCAAGAUGCUGGUGUUGCAGUUCAAGUUUUGUGUCCUCCGAAGAUCUUCGACCCUUGAGUUCAUUGUUGUGCAGCUGACUUGAUUUGGUGAAAGAACCACAUGCUGCCGGUGCUGCUGCUGCUGCUGCUUUUCAGCUGUGUUGAAGUGAUUCCUUUCAUUCCCCUUCGGUAGAAAGCUGUUAAUAUGUUUCUCUUUCAAGAUAUAUAGCUGGAGAUUUGGAUCAACGUUUUGGACAGGAAAUUUUGCACUCUCUUCUGUGAUGUGAUUCUGCAAUGUUUGAUUGACACCCGCGAAGGAGGUGCAGAUGGUGUUCUUGUUCCUGCUAUCCACGUUGCGGAUGGGAAGUACUCUUAAUUCAGAACUGAAUAAUAAAUAAUUUUCAUUUCGAGCCCUCUGAUUAAUGCGUUUUCUUGCUACGAUUUUGUAGCCUAGUUAGUGCUUGCGUGUUAAUUUUUCUUGUGUUUGAAAUUUACCUUAAUUAUUUCGUUUUUCUAGUAUAGAAAACAUAAUGUGUUCAUUCCUA